GAUGAACGCUAGCGGCAGGCCUAACACAUGCAAGUCGAGGGAUAAGCCUUCGGGCUAAGACCGGCGCACGGGUGCGUAACGCGUAUACAAUCUGCCUUUUAUCCGGGGGAUAGCCCGAAGAAAUUUGGAUUAAUACCCUAUGGUAUAAGAGCACGGCAUCGUGCACUUAUUAAAGCUACGGCGGUAAAAGAUGAGUAUGCGUUCUAUUAGCUAGUUGGAGAGGCAACGGCUCCCCAAGGCGACGAUAGAUAGGGGUUCUGAGAGGGAUGUCCCCCACACUGGUACUGAGAUACGGACCAGACUCCUACGGGAGGCAGCAGUGAGGAAUAUUGGACAAUGGUCGGAAGACUGAUCCAGCCAUGCCGCGUGCAGGAUGACGGCCUUAUGGGUUGUAAACUGCUUUUGUAAGGGAAGAAUAAGGAGUACGUGUACUUUGAUGACGGUACCUUACGAAUAAGCAUCGGCUAACUCCGUG
rnacentral:rRNA from 1 species